CCCUGGCAUAGUCAGUUAUAAUCUUAACAGUGCUAAAAUGAAAACACGUCUUUGAGUAUUGCUUUCAUUGAUAAAUAAUAGUUUUUGUUGUGGUUUAUUUGCUUAAAGGGUUAGUGAUGGUUUCACGAUGUAAAUAUGCUGAUGAGUGAUUGUGUGUGAGAGGAUUUGGGUGGUCGAGCCAUUUGCUUAUCCUCGUCGACGGUUCACGAGCCCGAAACAAGUGACGUCGGCGACCACGACAGCACGACCUGCCACUUGGCUCCGAUCUCUACACCUGUUCACUUCAUUUCAAAAAAGGGAGAACAAUAUUUGUCUGUCGAGCGCGGUGAGAGCCAUCUCAAAAUAAAAGAAGGUCAAUUGCUUUCUCCCAGGGAGCAGCCUGGAGCACAAGCGGGGACGAUGCCCGCUCGCCGAGCCCGAGUGAACCCCAUCCUCUGAAGGGAGGCAAUGCUCUGUCGUCCUCGGAGCAGGAGCACUAGCAGGAAAGAGGUCCUUCCUGAAGCAGAAGCAAAUCCCGAACUGCAAGCAAAACCGAAACACGUGGCUUGAGCAGGAGAGAAGGUUAUCCAACCAGUGCGGGUGACACUCAUCCGUUCUGCGCUGCGCAGAUGAAGGGUGCUCAACGAGCAGGGGUGAGCGUGUUAUGUGUAGCCCUCAGUCUCCUGCUUAUCAGUCUGGCAUGGGGGUUAAUAGAAUACAGGCUUCGCCAGAGCUUGUGACUACCAGGAAUAAACCAAGAAACUGGCUCGAAGCAAUAAAGAGAGGACUGUCACAGAAUAUGCCUCUAGACCAGUUGACGCAACUGGUUUGUGUAGAUUUCUGGAAUUUCCCGGAAUAAAAUAUUUGAAUAUAUGAUCGAGUUUUGGU